AGAGUUUGAUCCUGGCUGAGAGUGAACGCUGGCGGCGUGCCUAACACAUGCAAGUCGAACGAGAACGGGUUUAGUUUACUAAACUGUCAGCUAAGUGGCGCACGGGUGAGUAAUAUAUAGUUAACCUGCCCCAAAGAAGAGAAUAAUUGUUGGAAACGACUUGUAAUGCUCUAUAUGCCUCUAUUACAUAAGUAAGCGAGGGAAACAUUUAUGGCUUUGGGAUGGGACUGUACGGUAUCAGCUUGUUGGUGAGGUAAUGGCUCACCAAGGCUAUGACGCCUAACUGGUUUGAGAGGAUGAUCAGUCACACUGGAACUGAGACACGGUCCAGACUCCUACGGGAGGCAGCAGUGGGGAAUAUUGCACAAUGGAGGAAACUCUGAUGCAGCAACGCCGCGUGGAGGAUGACACAUUUCGGUGCGUAAACUCCUUUUAUAUGAGAAGAUAAUGACGGUAUCAUAUGAAUAAGCACCGGCUAACUCCGUGCCAGCAGCCGCGGUAAUACGGGGGGUGCAAGCGUUACUCGGAAUCACUGGGCGUAAAGAGCAUGUAGGCUGGUUUGUAAGUUGGAAGUGAAAUCCUAUGGCUUAACCAUAGAACUGCUUCCAAAACUGCAGACCUAGAAUAUGGGAGAGGUAGAUGGAAUUUCUGGUGUAGGGGUAAAAUCCGUAGAGAUCAGAAGGAAUACCGAUUGCGAAGGCGAUCUACUUGGACAUUAUUGACGCUGAGAUGCGAAAGC
rnacentral:rRNA from 1 species